rnacentral:rRNA from 1 species
UACGGAGGGGGGCUAGCGUUGUUCGGAAUUACUGGGCGUAAAGCGCACGUAGGCGGCUUUGUAAGUUAGAGGUGAAAGCCCGGGGCUCAACUCCGGAAUUGCCUUUAAGACUGCAUCGCUAGAAUUGUGGAGAGGUAAGUGGAAUUCCGAGUGUAGAGGUGAAAUUCGUAGAUAUUCGGAAGAACACCAGUGGCGAAGGCGACUUACUGGACACAUAUUUGACGCUG